AUUUUAAAAAGUAAUUCCCUGUAAAAUGUCUUAGUGGGACUACAUUAGAAAUAAUUUUGGAUGUUUUAGAUAAGAACCCUUUUAAUCCUUGACCCUGAAAUCUGGCUAUAGAAAUGUUGUUGGGAAUACUGCCUUAAUGCUGCUGAGUAUUUCAGCCAUACAGUUCCCAACAUUGCCUGGUUACUGCUCUGAAAACAUCUGGAUGGAAUCGUGGCCGGACAGACAUCUUGGUGCUGUGUAUGAGGUAGCCUUGGUUCUGUGCAUCAGAGUGCCCGUUGACUUCAGCCAGCGUUCUGGACGUGGUGCUGGGUGAGAUUUCCAGACAUUCAGCUGAAGAUUUUCAAUGAGGAAAGAAAAGAAAGAAAGAAAGAAACAAAGAAGAAUAAAACAACAGCAACGACCGAAAUCCUACUGUACUGGAGGUUUCAGGUUCUGCAUGUGCAUCCCAGGCUCUCAGACCUGCCUUUCUCUGCCAGCUGUUGUGUGGCUGCUCACUCCACUCCUUACAAGCCUGUAUGCAGACCAGCAGAAUCUGUGGAGCCGGACUCAGAAUGAGCAUCAUCUCCAGUGAUCCAGAAGGCUUCACAGCAAGCAGGAGAAGUCUUGCUCCUUGUCACUGUGAUUAGAGGUGUAGGAAGCAGGAAAAUUGAUCUUUCUGCACUAGGAAGAAGCUUGUCUGUGCAGGAGAGGGCUUCCUCAGAGGGUGGUUUCAAGGACUCAAUUGGACAAUAUGUUUAUCUUCUUGGAUGCUGAAUAUAAUAAGCUGACGUGAAUAUAAUAAGGGAUAACACCAUAUAAUUCAAACAAGGUAAUCCUGACAAAGAAGCAAAUCAGUCAGUGGACAUCACCUAUUGUUCUGCCUGGUUUCAUUUGAGUGUUAGUAGAAGACCAACUCUUCUAUACAACAUCUAACAGUUUGCUAAAUACACAACUAAUUCACUUAUUGGAGGUGAUACUUAUCAAAAAGCUGAGAGGAAUUUGCACAUUGAAAUAUAUUUAUGGUCAUGUGAACAAGGAAGUGACCUGUUGGAGAUGGACCUUGGGUUCCUGAGGAGAAAAGUUAAAGGUGGUGUCUUGAAUUAGUUGGAUACUGCAAGUAUGGAGAGUAUUGAAUGAAAUCCUUUUCUGCAUCUUUAAUCUGUUUUAUGAAGUGCGUCUUCAGAAGGAAAGUACAAAGGAAGACAACCCCAAUUUGUUUGUACUGGAUACAGAGGUACUACAGUUACGUAUGAACAUUUCUCAUGGUAUGGAACAGAUCCUUCAGAUCCUCAGGACAGAUAUUAUCCAUCUUCCUUUAGUCAACAGCAAGAAAUCUGAGGUUAAGGAUUCUUCCAGUGAAAACAGGCAGCAAUGUUUUCUCCUGUCUCGAGCCUCCCUUUUUCCCUCUGUCCAGUUGUGGAUCCAUAAACUAAACAAGACUUUGGCAGAAGAUGUCAACAAAUGUGAUAUUCAGACCAGAACUUGACAGCUGCAAAAGUAAAAAGGGGAUGUAAGAGCCAAACUUUUGAUUUGAUUGGUGUGAAUACUUUUUAUUGAAUAAAAUACUCUGU
rnacentral:lncRNA from 7 species